rnacentral:rRNA from 2 species
GGGUUGUGAGGUUAAGCGACUAAGCGUACACGGUGGAUGCCCUGGCAGUCAGAGGCGAUGAAGGGCGUGCUAAUCUGCGAUAAGCGCCGGUAAGGUGAUAUGAACCGUUAUAACCGGCGAUACCCGAAUGGGGAAACCCAGUGUGAUUCGUCACACUAUCAUUAACUGAAUCCAUAGGUUAAUGAGGCGAACCGGGGGAACUGAAACAUCUAAGUACCCCGAGGAAAAGAAAUCAACCGAGAUUCCCCCAGUAGCGGCGAGCGAACGGGGAGGAGCCCAGAGCCUGAAUCAGCAUGUGUGUUAGUGGAAGCGUCUGGAAAGGCGCGCGAUACAGGGUGACAGCCCCGUACACAAAAGCGCAUGUGCUGUGAGCUCGAUGAGUAGGGCGGGACACGUGGUAUCCUGUCUGAAUAUGGGGGGACCAUCCUCCAAGGCUAAAUACUCCUGACUGACCGAUAGUGAACCAGUACCGUGAGGGAAAGGCGAAAAGAACCCCGGCGAGGGGAGUGAAAAAGAACCUGAAACCGUGUACGUACAAGCAGUGGGAGCACCCUUUGGGUGUGACUGCGUACCUUUUGUAUAAUGGGUCAGCGACUUAUAUUCUGUAGCAAGGUUAACCGAAUAGGGGAGCCGGAGGGAAACC